rnacentral:rRNA from 1 species
GAUGAACGCUGGCGGCGUGCCUAAUACAUGCAAGUCGAGCGAACGGACGAGAAGCUUGCUUUUCUGAUGUUAGCGGCGGACGGGUGAGUAACACGUGGAUAACCUACCUAUAAGACUGGGAUAACUUCGGGAAACCGGAGCUAAUACCGGAUAAUAUUUUGAACCGCAUGGUUCAAAAGUGAAAGACGGUCUUGCUGUCACUUAUAGAUGGAUCCGCGCUGCAUUAGCUAGUUGGUAAGGUAACGGCUUACCAAGGCAACGAUGCAUAGCCGACCUGAGAGGGUGAUCGGCCACACUGGAACUGAGACACGGUCCAGACUCCUACGGGAGGCAGCAGUAGGGAAUCUUCCGCAAUGGGCGAAAGCCUGACGGAGCAACGCCGCGUGAGUGAUGAAGGUCUUCGGAUCAUAAAACUCUGUUAUUAGGGAAGAACAUAUGUGUAAGUAACUGUGCACAUCUUGACGGUACCUAAUCAGAAAGCCACGGCUAACUACGU